UAAUCAUAAUUUUUCAUGUCAAUGGACAAUGAAGGAAUAGUUUAACUGUAAUUAGCCUCAGAAUAUAUUAAUCCAUAAUAAUAUAUAUUAUAAUAGACUUGCGCGAGUCCUCUUAUUAUACAACAUAGUUACUAUGCCUACCCACAUGGCAUCUUUUCUUAAAAUAGCUUCUAGCUCCCUUAAUUUGUUUGAUCUGCUGCUAGUAUCACCUGCUGGUAGUGAUCAAACUAUCUACUAAAAACUUAGUAAUGAGAAUAUUUAAAUAUAUAGAUAUAAAUAUAAUUAAUUAAGUAAUUCAUAAAGGGCUUAAUUACAUGAUUAAACUCCUUAUUAUAGCAGCUUCAGGACUAUCAGCAUCAAUUGUAGCCAAAAGCUGGGACAAUCGCUCGCUCAAAUCAUCCACCUCCCUGUGCAAGCUCCUGAUGUAGUUGCAGGUCUCUUGUAGGACCUUGGAAGCUGAUACCUGCCACAGCUAAGUCAAUUCCAAUUAGUAACGAGUCAUUUUCUUCUUCCAAUCCUAGCUCCUCCUCAGCAUUAUUGGAGACAAUUUCUAGCAAUGCAUUUAUAUAUUAGAAGUUUCUGCCAUGUACUUGGCUAUUUACAUUGACAAAAUGAGGCAAUGAAUGGAUUAUUCCACACCAACUAAAACGGUGGUACUAGAACACCCUUUUAAGUCAAUGGUAAGAAUAUUUACUAAAUACCAAAAAAAAAUUGUAAUAUUAUUAUUUUAACCUUAAAGUCUCUGAAGGGGGUGAUAUUUCAAAUUCAAACCCUCUAAAAGAGCGCAAAUGUUCUUAUUAUAACUAUAUAAUACACAGUAUUCAUUUACUCGCUACAUGUGCUACGCUUACUUUCUUUUGAAGCUUCAACCGAAAACUUAUGGAUUGGAACUCGAGACUCUCAUCCUGCAACUUACAGGUUCUAUCAACUGAGCUACCUUAGUUAUUUACAAGUGCGAUACUUUUGCACUGCAUAUCUUCUCUAUGAUAAAUUUUAGAAUACAAUAUAAGGAUUUUAUUAUGAUCAUUAAUUAUGAUGACUCUCAUGUGAGUUAUAUUAUAAUAAUCAACGUUAGAAUGUAUAUCCAUUGUACGGUUGUGAAUGAGAGAUUGAGAGGUGGGGUUUGAAGUAUAUAUAGGUACCUUAUCGGAGCGCCUAUGGCGAAUCUCCGGGAGAAGCUGGCGUAACUUGGAGACAAGUUCAAUGAUUUGAUCAUCAGUGAUUCUUGGAACACCAGAAGACUGCCUCGACCUUCUGCUAGACAUCCUUAGUUUUAGUGGUGAAUGAGUGUCUGAGUGUUAAGAAUUAAGCUAAGAAUUUGAUGGGAAAGCUUAGGGAAACCAAAAUUGGAAAUGGGAAAAGAUGUAUAUAGCAAAAAAUGAGCUAAUAAACAAGAAAGGAAAGGGAAAGAGAAAGAGAGAAGGGCAAGUGUUAGAUAUAAGAGAUAUGAAGAAUUGGAGAAAGUGAUAAGAGAUUUAAA
rnacentral:misc_RNA from 1 species